UACGUAGGUGGCAGGCGUUGUCCGGAUUUAUUGGGUUUAAAGGGUGCGUAGGUGGUCUAUUAAGUCAGUGCUGAAAUAUCCCGGCUUAACCGGGAGGGUGGCAUUGAUACUGAUGGACUUGAGUAAAGUUGAGGUAGGCGGAAUUGACGGUGUAGCGGUGAAAUGCUUAGAUAUCGUCAAGAACACCUAUUGCGAAGGCAGCUUACUAAGCUUUAACUGACACUGAUGCACGAAAGUGUGGGGAUCAAACAGG
rnacentral:rRNA from 1 species